CUAUUUUUAGCAGGCACAUACAGCGUGAAAGAAAUAGAGUGAAAGGUCCUGGCAAGGCGCUCCUCCUACUUCUCGGAUAAAGGCCUUGGCUCUACAAAGAAGAAGAGCAGGUUUCAGAAGAUAUGAAAGGAAGCUGCAAAGAAUUGUGGACUUACUGAUAAUGGAUUUCCUACAUUCAGUAGUGUCAACAUCUUUGUUCAGAAUGUACUAUGAAAUAUAG
rnacentral:lncRNA from 1 species